CCUACGGGAGGCAGCAGUGGGGAAUAUUGGACAAUGGGCGAAAGCCUGAUCCAGCCAUGCCACGUGUGUGAAGAAGGCCUUCGGGUUGUAAAGCACUUUCAGUGGGGAAGAAAGCCUUGGGGCUAAUACCCUCGAGGAAGGACAUCACCCACAGAAGAAGCACCGGCUAACUCCGUGCCAGCAGCCGCGGUAAUACGGAGGGUGCGAGCGUUAAUCGGAAUUACUGGGCGUAAAGCGCGCGUAGGCGGUCUGAUAAGCCGGUUGUGAAAGCCCCGGGCUCAACCUGGGAACGGCAUCCGGAACUGUCAGGCUAGAGUGCAGGAGAGGAAGGUAGAAUUCCCGGUGUAGCGGUGAAAUGCGUAGAGAUCGGGAGGAAUACCAGUGGCGAAGGCGGCCUUCUGGACUGACACUGACGCUGAGGUGCGAAAGCGUGGGUAGCAAACAGGAUUAGAUACCCCAGUAGUC
rnacentral:rRNA from 1 species